rnacentral:rRNA from 1 species
AUUGAACGCUGGCGGCAUGCCUUACACAUGCAAGUCGAACGGCAGCACGGGAGCAAUCCUGGUGGCGAGUGGCGAACGGGUGAGUAAUACACCGGAACGUGCCCAAUCGUGGGGGAUAACGCAGCGAAAGCUGUGCUAAUACCGCAUACGAUCUACGGAUGAAAGCAGGGGAUCGCAAGACCUUGCGCGAAUGGAGCGGCCGAUGGCAGAUUAGGUAGUUGGUGAGGUAAAGGCUCACCAAGCCGUCGAUCUGUAGCUGGUCUGAGAGGACGACCAGCCACACUGGGACUGAGACACGGCCCAGACUCCUACGGGAGGCAGCAGUGGGGAAUUUUGGACAAUGGGCGAAAGCCUGAUCCAGCCAUGCCGCGUGCAGGAUGAAGGCCUUCGGGUUGUAAACUGCUUUUGUACGGAACGAAACGGCCUUUUCUAAUAAAGAGGGCUAAUGACGGUACCGUAAGAAUAAGCACCGGCUAACUACGUGCCAGCAGCCGCGGUAAUACGUAGGGUGCAAGCGUUAAUCGGAAUUACUGGGCGUAAAGCGUGCGCAGGCGGUUAUGUAAGACAGUUGUGAAAUCCCCGGGCUCAACCUGGGAACUGCAUCUGUGACUGCAUAGCUAGAGUACGGUAGAGGGGGAUGGAAUUCCACGUGUAGCAGUGAAAUGCGUAGAUAUGCGGAGGAACACCGAUGGCGAAGGCAAUCCCCUGGACCUGUACUGACGCUCAUGCACGAAAGCGUGGGGAGCAAACAGG